rnacentral:tRNA from 1 species
GGGUAUAGCUCAAUGGUAGAGCACAUGCUUAGCAUGCAUGAGGUCCUGGGUUCAAUCCCCAGUACAUCCA